UACGUAGGGUGCGAGCGUUAAUCGGAAUUACUGGGCGUAAAGCGUGCGUAGGCGGUUCGUUAAGUUCGUUGUGAAAGCCCCGGGCUCAACCUGGGAAUGGCAAUGGAAACUGGCGGGCUGGAGUAUGGCAGAGGGGGGUGGAAUUCCGCGUGUAGCAGUGAAAUGCGUAGAGAUGCGGAGGAACACCGAUGGCCGGAAGGCAGCCCCCUGGGCCAAUACUGACGCUCGAGGCACGAAAGCGUGGGGAGCAAACAGG
rnacentral:rRNA from 1 species